CAGCACCACGUACAUGUAAAAUUUAAUUAUAAAUGCAAUACUGCAAAGCUUUCGAUCCGUAUAAAGAAGCAUUUAUAGCCGCCCGGAUGUUCACCAUCGAAGUUUGGCUUGUAUUUUUCAGUGUGUUGUUGAAACUCUCUCAGUCCGCAGCUUUUUGUUAUUUUAAUAUGAUAAUAUAGGAUAAUUUAUCGUCGUUUCCAAUUACACUGUCACAAUAACAAACAAUAUCAUGCAAUUCAAAAGUAAAAAAGAAAUGAUUCGCUAGAUGAUUUUGUAAACAGAUGCGAAAGUCGAUAUAUUUCUGAGUACGCGCUCGUUGUGUGGCGCAUGUCUUUAAUUGAAUAUUUGCCGUACUUGUUUUACUCAUGGAAAUGGAACAAUGCCAUAUAAAACGUACCGGUUUACCAAAUAUAGUAAACGCCUACUAAACGGUCUUUCGCUUUUAUUUUUAGAUUCGUACUGGUUGGAUCGAGAGUUGGAUUCUCUGUUGUAGAUAUAUUUUCAUGGAAAACAAACGAGGCAAUUUCAAUGAAUGCUUACAGUAAAGGCCUACACAGAACGGGCGCGAAUUGGCUAAGCGACGCGAAUUUUCAAUUUGCAAUGGCAUUUAACUGUUAUAAUAUUUUUCUAUGUUUUUCAAAUAUUUGGAACCAGUUAAGAAAUUUUAGGUAUUUGGUCAGCAUCAUAUGGAAAUUUUUAUCCACUGACGGUUAAAAAUUUUGUUCUUAUUUUAAUAUAAAUGUUUACAAGAAAAUAACAUAGGCAGCAGGAAUUUCUGCUCAUUCAAUACAUGUAAAUAAGUAGUAUAUUCCAAAAUCACAGUUAUAUCUAUUUUUAUAAAUUAAUGUCUAAAAAGUCCACACUUGUAUAGAAAUACACAACAACGCCAACGGUAUUACCUCCGAAUAUAAAAGACAACAUUUUUUAUUCAACGACAACGUUUCGCGAUUUUAAUAUUUUAGUGUCAUCAUUAGAAACGGAUAAUGUUACAAGUAACAUAGUCAUAAUAAUGCCAAUUAUAUAUACAGAUAGUUUGUAAUAUAGUGCCAAUAUAUGCAGAUAGUUUGUAAUUUAUUGGUUUAUAUAUCCUCGUAAUAUAGAAUUUGAUAAAACUUUAAAUCGAUAAAUAAGAUAAUACCAGUAAUGUUGAUUAAUUUUCCAGCCACUGCACGUUGAAUAGAAGGAAAAGCAAAUCCGCUUCUCUUUGAAAUGGCUUUCUUAAUAGCGGAAGCCAUGAAAUUGAAGUCCUA